GACAGAGGGUGCAAACGUUGUUCGGAAUUACUGGGCGCAAAGCGCGUGUAGGCGGCCCUGUAAGUCGGGUGUGAAAUCCCACGGCUCAACCGUGGAAGUGCAUUCGAAACUACAGGGCUAGAGUUCUGGAGAGGAAGGUGGAAUGCUUGGUGUAGAGGUGAAAUUCGUAGAUAUCAAGCGGAACACCGGUGGCGAAGGCGGCCUUCUGGACAGUAACUGACGCUGAGACGCGAAAGCGUGGGGAGCAAACAGG
rnacentral:rRNA from 1 species